rnacentral:rRNA from 1 species
UAAUACGGAGGGGGCGAGCGUUGUCCGAAUUUAUUGGGCGUAAAGCGCGUGUAGGCGGAUAUCCAAGCCCGGGGUGAAAGGUUGGGGCUCAACCCCAACAGUGCCCUGGGGACUGGGUGUCUGGAGGCAGGCAGAGGAGCGUGGAAUUCCUGGUGUAGCGGUGGAAUGCGUAGAGAUCAGGAAGAACACCCGUGGCGAAGGCGGCGCUCUGGGCCUGUACUGACGCUGAGACGCGAAAGCGUGGGGAGCGAACGGG